AGCGUUAUCCGGAAUUAUUGGGCGUAAAGAGUACGUAGGUGGCUACCUAAGCACGAGGUAUAAGGCUAUGGCUUAACCAUAGUUCGCCUUGUGAACUGGGCUGCUUGAGUGCAGGAGAGGAAAGCGGAAUUCCUAGUGUAGCGGUGAAAUGCGUAGAUAUUAGGAGGAACACCAGUGGCGAAGGCGGUCUUUCUGGACUGUAACUGACACUGAGGUACGAAAGCGUGGGGAGC
rnacentral:rRNA from 1 species